GCUGUUCUGUACCAAAUAUAAACAUGUGAUGGAAUGAGAGAACUCAACCAACGCAUUUUAUCCACGCAAAACCAGAUUAAUCUAAGAAGUGGAACAUUCAAGCUCUUAGUGAAUUUUCAAAGAAUGAGCACAUCCUUUGCUUGGAAUAACCUCAGACCCUUUCUGAGAUGAACAGAGAGAGAGAGAUCACAAGCAGGCAGAGAGGCAGGCAGAGAGAGAGGAGGAAGCCCCCCC